AGUUUGAUCAUGGCUCAGAUUGAACGCUGGCGGCAGGCCUAACACAUGCAAGUCGAGCGGUAGCGGGAAGAGCUUGCUCUUUGCCGACGAGCGGCGGACGGGUGCGUAACACGUAGGAAUCUGCCCGGUAGUGGGGGAUAGCCCGGAGAAAUCCGGAUUAAUACCGCAUACGCCCUAAGGGGGAAAGCAGGGGAUCUUCGGACCUUGCGCUAUCGGAUGAGCCUGCGUCGGAUUAGCUUGUUGGUGGGGUAAAGGCCUACCAAGGCGACGAUCCGUAGCUGGUCUGAGAGGAUGAUCAGCCACACUGGGACUGAGACACGGCCCAGACUCCUACGGGAGG
rnacentral:rRNA from 1 species